rnacentral:rRNA from 1 species
UACGUAGGGUGCAAGCGUUAUCCGGAAUUAUUGGGCGUAAAGAGCUCGUAGGCGGUUUGUCACGUCUGCUGUGAAAACUGGAGGCUCAACCUCCAGCCUGCAGUGGGUACGGGCAGACUAGAGUGCGGUAGGGGAGAUUGGAAUUCCUGGUGUAGCGGUGGAAUGCGCAGAUAUCAGGAGGAACACCGGUGGCGAAGGCGGGUCUCUGGGCCGAUACUGACGCUGAGGAGCGAAAGCGUGGGGAGCAAACAGG